AGGAGGCUUUACUGCUCACUGAGGAUACCUGACAAGCUUCAGUGUGGACUCAGGUGUUCAUCAUGGCCGCCUCACCUGCUCUGUGUUCCUGCAUUCAUCACAUGAUCAGAGCAGCUGCUCGAAUAGAGACUGAUGAUGGGGCCAGUUUGUCUCCGCCUCGAGCGUCAGUUCUGUUGUGCUGAAGUUUCAGCUGUUCUCUGCAGUGCAUCAUGGGACGUUUCUCUCAGCUCCUCUGGGGACAGAAUCUCUAAACUGCCACUGAUUGAUUUAAUUUGAUGGUUAAAAACAGAUAAUGCUGCACAAAUCAAUAAAACCUGAAGGACUGAUUUCCAUCGUGAACCCUCUACAAACAGAAAACAUAUAAUAACAGAAUAAACGGCAGGCGGCGAGCAGCUGCUUCAUUUCUUUAAGGCCAUUUGAAAUGACUUCUGUGGCAGAUUGUUCCUCUGUUAUCGAAUCGAUGAGGUUUGACAUUUAUUGUGCUGCCAAUGACAAAUCAGAUAUUCUUCUGGAUCCAUGUUUUAAACUAGUUUAUCAGUAAUUUAAGUUACAUGUUAGUUUUUCCCACCAUCAUCAGUGAAACAAGAAUAAAUACCUUCAUGUUUGUUA